CCUACGGGUGGCAGCAGUGAGGAAUAUUGGUCAAUGGGCGGAAGCCUGAACCAGCCAAGUCGCGUGAGGGAUUAAGGCCCUGCGGGUCGUAAACCUCUUUUGCCGGGGAGCAGAGUUCCGCACGUGUCCGGGCCGGGAGAGUACCCGUAGACAAAGCAUCGGCUAACUCCGUGCCAGCAGCCGCGGUAAUACGGAGGAUGCGAGCGUUAUCCGGAUUUAUUGGGUUUAAAGGGUGCGUAGGCGGGCAUUUAAGCCGGCGGUCAAAUGUCGGGGCUCAACCCCGGCCUGCAGUCGGAACUGGGAGCCUUGAGUGGGCGAGAAGUAGGCGGAAUGCGUGGUGUAGCGGUGAAAUGCAUAGAUAUCACGCAGAACCCCGAUUGCGAAGGCAGCAUACCGGCGCCCGACUGACGCUGAGGCACGAAAGUGCGGGUAUCGAACAGGAUUAGAUACCCCUGUAGUC
rnacentral:rRNA from 1 species